GGGGCAAAAACACCCUGCAGGCUGCAUGUGGCCCACGGGCGGGAGGGCUGUAGUUUGAGGACCCCUGGUUUAGAGUCUUGCUGUUACACCCUAUGAGCAAAUUGGAGGGCAGGGUCUCCAAAGGAGAGGCAUGGAGAGAGGAGGGGUAGAGGAGGGGUUUGUUUCAGGGAACUGCUAGGUUGGGGGCUUAGACUCUACAAAACAAGCAUUUCUGUGGAAAGGGGAACUGGGGGGCCAGGGGCCUUGGGCUGAGGGUUUGUGUCUGGCAGAUGUGUGGCCCUGGCGGGUGGGGUUGUGAGUUGGGUGAGUGACUGGUGGGUAGGAGGCUUGGUGGUGGGAGGGGGCAUCUCUGGCUGCGCAUGGGUAUAAACCUACUGUAGGAACAGACACGGAGGCUGGCCUGGUUUUUACUCAAUACAGACACCACAGUGGUGUCACUAAGUCUUCCCCUCGACCCAUGCCCCCACCCCCAAUACCAGAGAGCCCUUCCUUCAGCCCGGCCCAGCAGGAAGCCCUCCCAGGAAAGAGGGGACAAGGAAAAGGGCUCAGAAAGGCCUCAUGGUCACUGGGUCCCUGGGCCAAUGUUCGGUCCUGGUGUCCAAGUUUGCAGCCUCCCCCCUUUCCUGCUGGAAGCAAACGCUGCUGAGGCCGGUCUCUAUGUCCACCUCACUCCUUAGCCUCUCCUCUGACAGCCUGAGCACACACUCCGAGAGUGGUGCGAGGGCAAUGCCCCCCUAAAGAGUUGGUUUCCCCCAAUGACUUACAUCCCCAUCCAAGGGCACAGUUUCCCCAGGUCCAGGCACAGGGAGGGGCUUGUUGAAAGGUCCUUCUUGUCACAACCAUCACCAAGACCACAGUCAUGAGCCCACAAAGGGAAAGGGACAGAUGGAGCAAAGUGACCUGAGGGAGCAGAAUCGAGGGCGAUGCUUGGGCCCCAUCACUGGGCAGCUCCAGCUGCGUUCAUGGCAGCCUCUUGCUUCAGGUCCUCCAGUAAUGGGUGUGUGUGUGUAAGAAUCUGUACCCUCAGGACUGUGCCAGGAGGCGAAUGAGGAACUCGGGGGAGAGGUCUUGUGUUAUACCUGUGGUUCAGGCUGAGUCUUGGUGGCGGCGAAAGGGUAGGAGGCAGCGAGGCUGCACCUGGAGAGUCUGAAAGCACACUCAGCUCUCUGGAUGCAAAUUGAAUCCCCAGCAGAUUCCUGAGGAAGGAUCGGAUCGCUGAGUAUUUGAACUUGAGGCCUUCCUUCUUCUUCAGCCUUGAGAUCCGAGGAGGGACUUCUGGGGACCCGAGUACACUGUGGGGAGCUGGGAGAGAGGAGGCACAAGGCCUUGGGCAGCUUGUGAAAGGGCAGGACUGGAGGCCAUGCUACUGACGGCGCGAGGUGCCCCUGGCUUCUGCAGAACAGCCCUGGUGUCUUCUCUUCUUCAUGGGUCUCGCCACUGACGGUGUGGUGAAUGAUCGGCAAACUGGAGUCCACAGGUAGAGAAAUCUCGACAAAUCAUCACUUCAAGUUGGUGCCUCGAACCGUCUAGGUUCUGGAGCUGCUGGACACACAGUUUAUUGAAAUGGAAGGACCCGUUAGGUGGCAGGUACACUUGUAAAACCAAAUAGGGACCUGCCUACCAGAGUGCAGGCUUUCCUUCAUCACCCGGUGGGUGGGUCGGAGGAAGCCACGGCUUCUCUCCUCUAGCCAACCAGCUCAGCCUGCCCCACCCCCAUCUCUACCCCUUCUGAGUAUUAUUCCUGAGGCUGGCAGCCCACCAGAGUGGGAUACCACCCCCCCUGCAUUCUCCUACAUCUGGAAGUCCUUAAAGCCUACUGUGGGAGUUGGAAUACUGGUAUUUAUUCACUCAUGUUUCCUGCCCCCACCCCCACCCCCAGUGUUCUGGAGGCAGACUGCUGGUUCUUCGCCCCGCCAAUUCUUUGCUAGUGGAACCUCAGAGAGCUGAAGGUGGGGAGUGAUAUAUACUGCCUCGCCCAGAAUCAGGGCAUGCCAACUUCCCUAGGAAAUAAAUGCAUUUGAUAAAUACUCCAGAAUCACAGGAGGAAGGACUAGACAGAAACAAUACAACGAUUCCUGUUGGUGCUCUGGGGAGCAUCAGGAGCAGGGUCAUGAAAGGGAAAGAGUGGGUGAUAUUGAGUUACCAGAGAGGCGAGAGAAAGGGGGAGCCCUUCCUCACCACCCAGGCUCUCCCAGGGCUCUGACACCCCCUCCUCCUAGCCUAAUCCCCCAUUAAGGCAGCUCUGAGUUUGUUAUGACAGCGGCUGAAGGCAGUGAAUUGCUGUUUGCUGUGUCUGCUAAUUGGCCUGAAGGGUUGGAGUCUGGACCCUGAAAGGGACCAUUGUGGCUGUUUACCUUCCAUGGCAGCCUCCCAGGGGACCCUCUGGGUGAAGGGGAGCCGCACACCCAUGCCCUGUUUCUGCACAGGGACCCGGGCUGGGGAGACCACUCCCUUUCAUGGCCUCCAGGUGAUCUGAGCUCCCACAGCACAGACGGACCCACCCAAAGCCAGAAUCACCUGCAGGCCACCUGGGCAUUUCCCAGGAGAGGAGAGAGACAUGCAGGUCCUCCUGCCUAUUCACUACCUCUCUCUUUGGGGUCCCCUCUGCCUCUCUCCCCCCAGGGGUAAGACACACUCCCCACCCGCUAGCCUAGUGAUUCCCUGCUUGGUUCUGCACUAGAAUCAACUGGGAGAGCUUUUUAAAAAAAAUGCUGAUAUCUGGGUUCAGUCCCAGACGAGUUAAACCAAAGUGUCUGGGAUUGAGGCCGAGGGACUGAUAGCAUUUAAAAACUCCCUCGAUGCUUCUAAGGAGCCACUGAUCCUGGCUCACCCAUUGGCCUGGGACACAGACGUGUACAUCUGCUCAUACAUGCCCAGGACGCACUCUGCCCCCUCCGCCCCCGCCCCGCCCAGCUCCUAACCCCUAUAAUACCACCAGACAGAUCGAGUGUCUCCACUGGUGUAGCUUGUCCAUCUAUCACCCAGUUCCUUGUGGGAGCCAUAGGAUCUAGGGUGGAAUUUAGAGGUGGAGCCUCAGCCUCUCACCUCACCUUGAGGUCUUUCCCAAGGAAAGAGCUCAGGAACUCUGGCUCCAUCCCCCCAUGGAUUCCCAAUUGAAUUCAAAUGAGGGCUGGACUGACCCAGGACACAGUGGGACAACGGAGAGCAGGUUCCAAAGUUACUUUGACACUAGUGUUCUCCUCCCCACUCCUUCCCCCAAAGUAGUAUCAGUGCUUUGGAGGUCUUCUGAGAGAGGAAACACCUUCUUCUUUCUUCGGGAGCAUUUACUCCCCUUUCCUGACUCUUUCCAAAUGUUUCUGCGUCUUCUCUUCCCUCUAGCUUCUCGCCUGGGGCGGGUGGGUGCUCUUCACCACCACCCCUCCCGCCCUCCUGCCUCCAUCAGCGCUACAGCCGCAUCCAGCACCGCGGACAGCUCCCGGGCCAUGGAGAGCUGUGUGCAGAGGAGAGGCACCAUUGACCUAAGCCAAAGAAGAGCCAGGAGGCCACGGGGCCCCUUCUGCACACACAGGCUCACCUCCUGAUGGGACCUCCCUGCUGGCCCCAUCCUAGACUUGCCCCCCUCUCACAGCUCUGGCCGGUGCCGGGGUCUGGCGGUUGUAUGCAGUGGGCACACACAUCUGCUGCUGGCAGAUCUGGAGCGGCUGACUCACCCCAGUGUCUUCGUGGGAACCCAUGCAGCCAGGAAAGAGGCCAGCAGCCCUCGGGGACACAGGCUUCUAGGCCCCCAGGAUCUGAGUGCCCCUGGGCCCGAGCGCACCUGACCCGUUCACCCUCUGCCCCGCGCCUGAUGACAAAGCCCAGAAGAGACGCCUACAUCAGCCUUCCUAGUGGACCUUCCCCAGGUGGUCCCCUUUCCCAGUUGAGGGGUUCUCCCUACAAGCCCGUCCCCCAGUUCCUGGCAUGUUCUUCAACCAAAGAGUAUCUUCAUUUUCCCUUUUCACAUCUUUUCUUAGUAGAUUUGCAAGAAGACGCUGUUCCUCCUGCCUGGCUGGGUUCCUGGGAGAAGCCCUCCCGGAGGGUCCAGGCAGUGGACCAGCUCCUCCAGGCCGGAUCGGACGGAGCAGAGCGAACAGGAGAUUCCAGCCGCCAGCCUGGACUGCCCAUGACCCCCGAGGUCGGCUGACAGAGACUUUGCUUGACCCAUGGCGCCCGAGUGUGUGCUCGCUGCCUGUCCUCGCCCGCCCCACCCACCUCGUGUCGUCCCAGCCGGGCCCUCGCGGUCCCCUGCAUGGAAGUCCCAUCUCCUAGCUAAUAAAGACUGUUGCACAUUG